UACGUAGGUGACAAGCGUUAUCCGGAAUUACUGGGCGUAAAGCACACGCAGGCGGCGCAUUAAGUCUGACGUGAAAUCUCCUGGCUUAACUGGGAGGGGUCGUUGGAGACUGAUGGGCUUGAGGCGAUGAGAGGGGUGUAGAAUUCCCGGUGUAGUGGUGGAAUGCGUAGAUAUCGGGAGGAAUACCAGUGGCGAAAGCGGCACCCUGGCAUUAGCCUGACGCUCAGGUGCGAAGGCGUGUGGAGCGAUCGGG
rnacentral:rRNA from 1 species